GGAGGGAUGGCAGAGAGGCUUAUCGCGCCCGGUUUGAAACCGGGAGUUCCGAAAGGAACCGGGGGUUCAAAUCCCUCUCCCUCCG
rnacentral:tRNA from 1 species